ACGGAAGGCAGCAGUGGGGAAUAUUGCACAAUGGGCGAAAGCCUGAUGCAGCGACGCCGCGUGAGUGAAGAAGUAUCUCGGUAUGUAAAGCUCUAUCAGCAGGGAAGAAAAUGACGGUACCUGACUAAGAAGCCCCGGCUAACUACGUGCCAGCAGCUGCGGUAAUACGUAGGGGGCAAGCGUUAUCCGGAUUUACUGGGUGUAAAGGGAGCGUAGACGGUUUGGCAAGUCUGAAGUGAAAUGCGGGGGCUCAACUCCUGAACUGCUUUGGAAACUGUCGAACUAGAGUGCAGGAGAGGUAAGUGGAAUUCCUAGUGUAGCGGUGAAAUGCGUAGAUAUUAGGAGGAACACCAGUGGCGAAGGCGGCUUACUGGACUGUAACUGACGUUGAGGCUCGAAAGCGUGGGGAGCAAACAGGAUUAGAUACCCUGGUA
rnacentral:rRNA from 1 species